AGAGUGGCGAACGGGUGAGUAAUGCGUGACCAACCUGCCCUUUGCGCUGGGAUAGCCUCGGGAAACCGAGGUUAAUACCGGAUACUCCAUAUUUGUCGCAUGGCGAAUAUGGGAAAGCUCCGGCGGCAAAGGAUGGGCCCGCGGCCUGUUAGCUAGUUGGUGGGGUAGUGGCCUACCAAGGCAAUGAUGGGUAGCCGGGUUGAGAGACCGACCGGCCAGAUUGGGACUGAGACACGGCCCAGACUCCUACGGGAGGCAGCAGUG
rnacentral:rRNA from 1 species